UUUUCUAUGGAUAAGCCAAAUAAAGAAAAAUUCUGCCCAGGAACAAUCCUCAAAUGAGAUAGCUCAGCAAGCAAUGCAUAAAGAAUCAGAUUGUCAUUCAGUUUAUUAAAGUUAUUAAAAGAAUUAAAGUUAUUAAAAUAAUUAAGGAGAGGCAACUGCCUGUGACUUCUAAUGUUUUACAAAGCAAAAUUUUGGGAAUCAGUUCACAGGCCUGAAAAAAUGAUCUGCAGCAGUACUUAUUUUAAAUGUGUCAAUUAGUAAAUUUGGAUUAUUCUAUCAAUAUCCAAUAUACAAAAUAUAGUCAACAAGAAAUUAGGGUUAGUCUGAGUAGCACUUGUAAAACAUGUUUAAACUGAAACAUUUAAUUCUUAAGAUGGAACAGUGUAGAAAUAUUUAUCAGGUCUAAAAAGGUACUGCUAUUGUAAAUAAUCCUGAAGUCUUUGGCUUCAGCAUUUCCAUAAAAUAAAACUAUUAGACGUGAUGAAAUUAUUAAACUGAUUAGUUCUAAUUGACCUUAGAUCUUAAAGGGGAAGAUAUGUUAGGAAAAGAGAGGUCCUAAAUUUACCUCCUGUGUACUGCUGGGCCUGAUUAUGUUUCUCAUACACAAUUGUGGUUUUCUGAUUUAGAUUUGCAGUGCAAAAAAAAAAAAAAAGUCAGCAAAAAAAAAUCUUAUUUUUGUCUGGUGGCUCACAAAACUUGCACGAACAAGACUUUUAUGUAUGUGAAACUGCCAAACUGGAGCCAGGGUCGGAACUCUCAAGGGGCUGAAUAUUGAGCAAAAGAGAGAAAUGAAACAGCUGAGUUACUACACUGAGAAACAUAUGUGGUACAUUGACACAUUUACCAACAUUCAAAAGAUUUUCUGAUAUGUAGCUGCUCUCUUGAAAAUGAUGUACGUGGUUGUCUGGAGUUGCACCAGAGCUGCAGAACCUAUUCUGGCUUCUCGGGUAAAUUAUACAGACUGGCAAUGAAGUUUAUAAAUGAGUGUUUAUCACUUAGAGAGAGAGGUUUGUGGUGGAGCUCUGACAGCUAGUGGGGGAAUAACAAGUCCUUUAAAAAAGUGUUUGCAUGUAUUUACCCAGGACUGAAAAGCAGUCUCUCUCUGAAGUAGAGUAUUUUCAUUAAGCUUCACAUUAAAUAAGCCCCAAGAAAUUAUCUUGAAGCACCAAUGAUGCUGUUGCACCAAGUAGAGCAAAGAGAUUCAAGGUUAUGGCUGACACUGAUCCUAAUUGGCGGAUCUGACAGCUCUCAGCCUAUUCAAUCACUUCACCACUUCCACCUCAAUCAUCUGAAAUCUUUUAUUUCAGUCAAUAAUAUGUGCUUAAAUUAAUCAGAUAUGCUACCCUCAAAAAUCCUCCUGCAUGUCCUCUCCACUCCUGGAGAAGGAAACAGACAGCAAACAGUUCUUCCUGAUGAAAGAUUGUCUUUUCCAUGGCAGAAAACAGAAAUAUUUCCUCCAAAUUCAGGAGAAUGAGAUGGGUUUAAUAGUAGAGUAUUUGCAGAGAUUUUGAGCCUUUGUCCUGGAGAGCUCUGCCUGGUGGUAGGACGGAACAAGGACUGCAUAACUCUUCUCCCAUUUCAUUUUUCCAGGUGUAUUUAUUUGAUCAGUGUUUCAUAUUUAAAUAUGCAGCAUGUGUUUUAUGUUGAGAGAAAACUGUGUUAUUAAAUGAUGGCAGAAGAAAACUGGAGUCAGAAACAAAGGAAACAAAUAUACUCGAAUUAUGCUGCAGACAGCAUGAAAGAAAAUGUCUAUAAAUGCACACAGAAAUGAGUCUGUCUAAAAAGUGCAUUUGAGGGCUGGUGAAAACAUCACUGACACCAAAGGAAAUUGUUCACACUGGCUGGGGGUGAGCACUGAGGUACAGGUACCACCAGCACCAGCUCCAGUUGGGGAUUUCCAUCCCCAUCCCUGCUGCUGUCCACUCUUCAGCCUGGUUUGGAAACUCACUGAAAUCCCUUUUCUAACAGUCAGAGGAGGCUCUGGAGCAUCUUCUGCAGAGUCCAAUACUUUGGCUCCUGGAAAUAUUUCCCUGUGCCAGAACCAGGGUUCACCCUCCUGGUGAGUGCUCCCAAGGGGGCAAAGGAGGCUUCCACCUUUCUGUGCCUCCAUCCUGCCUCCCUGUCCCCUCCUCCUCCACUGACUUUUCUCUGGGGGUCAAGAUGACACAUGAGCCUUCUCUAAUCAUGGCCCAUCUCGUUCCAAAUGGACAGUUGUGUGUUGUUUCUCUACUCUUCCUAUCUAUCCUUUCUCCUUUUCUUUCAGGUUGCUCUAUUUGUUGCUAUCACGUGGGUUUUUUCCCAUAAAUAUUCUCUUUCAGCUCUUGAUACCUCUUUUUGUUACCAGACUCAUACAUUCUGCCCCUUCUCACAGCAAUCUCAUGACCUCCAGGUAAUAUACAGUACUAAAAUAGGUGAAGUCCUUUCUCUCUCCUCAGCCAGCACCCAGUUUCCAGCCCUGCUAAUGCUGUGUGCCCAGGGCCAAGUUGAGUUCCCCAGAAAAGAUAUUCCUUUCUCUUUGGUAAUUUAAGAUGGAGACUGAGAUCCAAGGGUGCAAUACUUCAAGAAUAACUCUUCAUGUAACAAAUCCAGUUUGACUGUGAGUGGCACAGAGUGACCUUCUAACAUUUUAUCAGAUACUCAAAAGUAUCCUGAAAGGAAAAUUAUGCUUCUAUAAUCAAAAUCUCAAAAUACAAGCUGACUACUUUUUUUUUUCUUUUUCCUUUACUUUGUCCAUGUGGUAUUCAGAAGUGCAAAUAAAUAAAAACUGAUUUACUGACUGAGUUGUAUGACCCUGUGUCUUGCUUUUGCUACAAUUGAAAUUAAACCCCAGAAACAAGUUAAAAGAGAAAGGUCUGAGGCUCACCAUCUCAUGGCUACAAACAUCAAGGCUCCCCUGAGGGUGGAAUUUUCUCCACAUGAGAAAUCCUGGAAUUUCAAAACUCAAACACAUCAUUGCAAUACCAGUCCUGUCACUGCUAACUUCCACCCAGGUGUGUGGCCAUACCUGCUUUUGGCCAGACUUUGUGUCCAAAGUUAUUAUCUUUCACAAGGAAACAAAAAUUUUUCUGCUAUACCACUAGAGGAUCAGGUUCCCGUAUAUUUGCAUCUGGUUUACCUUUUUUAAUAAUUCAGAUGUCUAGAUCUAUCCAAAGGAAAACGUCAUUAAAAGUUUGACAACAGCUUUAAAUGUUUUGGGUUUUUUUUUUUUUAACCUGACUAGAAGUGUAUGGAUUUUUUAAAGUCCAAAAAUAUGUUUUACCAUUCUAGAUAAAAUUCCAGCUGUUGCAAUGAAACAGGACAGUGAAGACCCUAUUUUUUAGCUGUCUUGCCCACUAAGCUGUUACACAAAGAUGGGAAGUCCUAUCAUGACAGCACCAAGUAGAAGAUGUAUCCAUGUGUCACAAAUGGGGGAGUGUUAGUAAAUACAAUAUUCAUGCUCUUUUUAAUUUCCUAAGAAGGUUCAAGAGGAAAUUAUGGAAAUUAUGUUUAGUCCUGAAUUUAGCUUCACAUUGUAGAAGAACAAAAAUUAAAGCUCACCUAAACAUAGAGGAAAUUCAGCCAAUCACAGCUGAAGGAUUAGUAAAAAGUGUUAAAAAUAUUAUAUGAAAGUUUUAAUUACACAGAAAAAUUAUAAAAUGCCCAGUAAUUACAGUAUAUUGAUUCCAUUUUUUUUUUCUUGAAAUGCUAAAACUAUUUCAACACACACAGAAUCAAUAAACAUAAUUAAAAUAUGAGCUCAUCAAAACAGUAAUUAAAUGUACUUAACAGCUUUUGUGGCUUUUCUCCAUAUGGUUACUGUGGGAGUGUGAAUCUGGCUUGCUAGAUAAAUUUAACAAAAUAAAGUGAAAGCCUGGGAAAAGAUUACUGUGGUAUCAUAAUCAAAUACAAUAAAGUCUAGCUCUAUAAUAAAUUCCAAUAAAUCAAAAAGUUGACAAAGGAAGCAGUGUUUAAAAUUAUUAGAGAGAAAUUCUGGAGGUUUUAUAUUUUUGUGGGAUUAACACUAUCAUGGACUUAAUAUAGAAGUCAAAUCAAAUCUUUUUUUCCAUCAUUAAAGCUAUCCUACUAGAAGACUUUCUGCUCAAUAAAGGUGUUUGGAAACUUU
rnacentral:lncRNA from 1 species